UUUCAGAAUCCUACAGCAUUGGAAGAAAGGAUUAAUAAAACCUUAGACCCCCACUGAGAGUAACUGCGUGGACCGUGCUCUCGGUAACUUGCCGACUGGUGUUUCCUAUCACAUAACCUACUUCUGGGCCACCACGGAAAGUAUUAGAAAAGAAGAACCAGUUCCAAAUGUAGCUGCAGAUCGGGUAUGUCUGUGGGAGAAGGUGAGUUCAGGAUCCUCCUUUGCUGCCACCUUGAACUGGAACCCAGCAUUUAUCUUGAUCGAUUUCAACUGUUACAUCUAAUCCACCAGCAAUUUCCAAAGUUCUGCCUUUACUCUGUAUUUGAAAUUGUUUACCUCUCUUCAUCUCUACUAUCUCCAACCAUUUCAUCUACAAGGAACCAGCCAGACUGGCCAUUUUCCACUCGGUUUUGUUCACAGAUGAGAGUCCAGGUCACUGCACAGGUAAACCACCCAGGCUAGCCCAGGUGGCAGGCUCAGGCAGAGGACUCUGCAGUGAGUACCAGAGGAUGGACGUGAUGGGCAUGCGUGUGGCCCAAGACGGUCUGCAGCAAUGGGAACUGCAAGUCACAUCCUGAACUUCCCCUCUUAGCACUCUUCCCGGGAAAAGCAAGCAGCCCCUUCUGGGAGAACUGUUCCCAGGUGGAUCCAAGUGAUGCAAAGGGCAGACAGUGGAUCAUGCGGUGCGCAGCCCCGAUCUUCUCUCCAGGAAUGGCGUGACUAUCCCCCAUUGGCUGGGGCACUGGGUGGUGGAUGCCCCUUAGUUCCAUCCUCUUUGGGAAUUCUCCGAGGCUAAGGACAGCCGUCUCCCCUCAAGUCAGACUCUUUCCCUAAAGGCAGCAGCAUCCAUGACUGACCGUGGCAGUACACAGGCCCCACUGCCUCUGGGCGGGACAACCCUAAGGGCCGCCUCCGAUGCAGAACUCCCUGUGGGAUUGGCUAAACCCUUUGCUGUAGUUGAGUGGCUAUUUAAUUCCUCUGUCUGCCAAAUUCUACUUCCUUUACUCCCUCCCAAAUGUUGGUCAAGAAAGCACUCCUCAAAAAACUUGCAAAUGCAAAUCUAUGUCUCUGGGUCUUUUUCAUGGGAAACCUUAAGACUACAUUCAUGCAAG